GUCCGUGUUAAUCAGAGGGGAAGGAGACAGAUCCUAAGAUCGUAUUGGCAGGUGCAAAAAAAGGUGUCUUUCAGAAUCCAGCAUCCACUCAUGAUUUUUACAUUUAAAGAUUACAAGGCCAAUGUUCCUUAUCCAAUAAAGAAUAUCUCCUGCCGCCUGUUAGCCACGCUCGUAUUUAAUUGUACAGUGUUUGAAACAAAGUUUUCCCCAAGAGUGGGAACGCACACCCUCUCAGCACUCGUAUUGAAUACAGCACAGUGAGAGUCGGAAAGAAAUACGACAUAGAAAGACCCAGGAGGAAUACAGAACUAAGAGGCUGCAGAACUCGGAGAAGCGGAGUGCGAAUUUCCUCGUUUCGUGAGGCCAGAGGCUCUGCUGUGAAGCCAGCAGUUCUCCCCUGGUGGCCCGCAGGUCACACUACGCUCUUUCCUCCCGAGAGAUCUCAGCUCGGUUCCCCUGAGCCAUUAGCACGUGACCCAGAGCUGUGUCCGUUGUGGGGAUCCUGGGGCCGUGCCACUCCCCUGUGGCCACGGGAGACCCAGCGUGGAAGCCGUGUGAGGGGAAAAUGGCACACCGGACUCCACUGAGAUGCAGAAGUUCUGUUCAUCAAGAACGCCCUGCCUUGCGAGAGUCGAGGGGCAGCCACAGAGAAGGAGAAGGUACUGACACUCGGCUGCCUGACACACAUGGAUGGAGGGCAUGCGUCCCUUCUCAGUAAGAAAAAGAGACACUGAUGGAAGAUGGCACCAGGGUGGACUUUUCACAAACCGGGAUGAUUCGACUGUUGGCUCGCCAUGGAAACAAUCGCAGUGGCGCUCAGGUUCCCUGGUCAGCAGGGAAAUGCAAAGCUGAAGCCUGAGGCAGCUAACCAGUCACCAACCGGAAUGGCCCAGUUGGAAAAGGAGAACACGGCCAGUGGGGCGGUGAGACCAGGGAGGGAGCGGCUGGGUCGCCCAGGGCUCCCUGAGGUCUCGUGAUC
rnacentral:lncRNA from 1 species